GACGAACGCUGGCGGCGUGCCUAAUACAUGCAAGUCGAGCGGACGAAUCGAAGGCUUGCUUUUGAUUCGUUAGCGGCGGACGGGUGAGUAACACGUGGGCAACCUGCCCUGUAGACGGGGAUAACACCGAGAAAUCGGUGCUAAUACCGGAUAACACGAAAUGUCGCAUGACGUUUCGUUGAAAGACGGCGCAAGCUGCCGCUACAGGAUGGGCCCGCGGCGCAUUAGCUAGUUGGUGAGGUAACGGCUCACCAAGGCGACGAUACGUAGCCGACCUGAGAGGGUGAUCGGCCACACUGGGACUGAGACACGGCCCAGACUCCUACGGGAGGCAGCAGUAGGGAAUCUUCCGCAAUGGACGAAAGUCUGACGGAGCAACGCCGCGUGAGCGAAGAAGGCCUUCGGGUCGUAAAGCUCUGUUGUUAGGGAAGAACAAGUAACGCAGUAACUGGCGUUACCGUGACGGUACCUAACGAGAAGGCCACGGCUAACUACGUG
rnacentral:rRNA from 1 species